CGCUCGAAGUGCAAUGAAUAGCCUGUUGGACUUUCAAUCCAAAGUCGUGGGUUCGAUUUCCUCUUUGAAUGU